rnacentral:rRNA from 1 species
AUGGAUCCAUACCAUGCUCCUAUGGCGGGGAUUUCGUUAGGUUCGCUGGCUCCGCCGGACGUCGACGUCGGCGCCGCCGCCGACCUCCCCCAGAGCCGCCUUCUUGACAGCAAGCCUUUCUUCGGCGAGAGGAUAAACGACACCACGGCCACCUACAGCACCACCGACCCGGACGACGAACAGCGCCCCAUGGUCAUCCAGACCACCUUGUUCGUCGCCCGCCCGCCUAGCGUCUCCUACGUGCUUGCCUGGGCCACCGGCACCCUCUUCACCGAGGAGCCUCUCGUCCUCUCCACCCACGGCGGCUUCGUCCUUCUCUCCAUGGCCGUACGCUUCAAGAAAUGGCCGUUCUCCGAAUACUACAUCUACCAUACCGGCCGAGAUCACGGCGGUGAUGGCCGUCCGGAGCUCUAUCAGAUCCAGCAACCCAACAGCAUGCGCUUGGUCAACGAAUGCUAUGCGGUGGGCCUCGUUUCUCAUGGCGGAGGCUACCAUGUCGCUGCACUAGCCAUUCAGGAGAAUGGAGAGUUCCUGUUCUACAUCUUCAGCUCCGAGACGCGAGCCUGGACCAUCAAGAAACCAGUCUUGUCACUGGCAGAUGGAGCCACUGACCUUGGCGACUACAUGCCGGACAAGGCGAUCGCUGUCGGUGAUGGCGGUGUCAUGGCGUUCGUCGACUUGUGGAAUGGCAUCCUCUUCUGCAACGUCCUUGACAGUGGUGAACACGUUGAGCUGUGCUAUCUACGUCUGCCAUCUGCAGAGCUCUGCCGGCCAGACAUGAACUACUACCGGUUGCAACCUCGAGACAUCGCCUUCGACAUGUCAAACGACACAAUUCGCAUCAGGUUCGUUGAGGUGGUUUGUCCCUCCUUCUCUCCGGGUUGGCGCGCUUCCACCUGGACUACGACCACUACGGCUACGAGUCCUUGGCGCCAACAGGAGAAGGGCUGGCAGCAGGGCUUUGUGCUCUAUGAUCAUGAACUCUUGGUGGCCGAUGGUGUCAGCACUGACGGGCUGCUGCCUGAGGUUUCGGAAUUGGCCGAGACGCAACUUGCUAACCUCUUAGUGGAUAUGCCCAUGUUGAGCUUACACGAAAACAACAUCAUCUGUUUCUUGGCCAAACACCAUAUAGCGGACAGUGAAGUUUGGUCGAUUGCUGUCGACAUGGAGAUGAAGAAGCUGAAAGGAGUCAAUCUUCUUCAGGUCGGAAGAUGCACAACACUAUUCUACAGCACCAUCUCCAGCCAUCUCAAUAUGACAGCUGCAGCUUCAGUGCUAGAUACAUCCGUUUAA